rnacentral:rRNA from 1 species
UCCGUAGGGUGCGAGCGUUAAUCGGCAUUCCUGGGCGUAAAGUGUGCGCAGGCGGCCAUGCAAGUCGAGUGUGAAAGCCCCGGGCUUAACUUGGGAAUUGCGCUCGAAACUACGUGGCUGGAGUGUGGCAGAGGAAGGUGGAAUUCCACGUGUAGCGGUGAAAUGCGUAGAGAUGUGGAGGAACACCAAUGGCGAAGGCAGCCUUCUGGGCCAACACUGACGCUCAUGCACGAAAGCGUGGGGAGCAAACAGG